CGAUGAAGCCCAGUCAUUGCUGGGUGGAUUAGUGGCGAACGGGUGAGUAACACGUGAGUAACCUGCCCUUAACUCUGGGAUAAGCCUGGGAAACUGGGUCUAAUACCGGAUAGGAGCGCCUACCGCAUGGUGGGUGUUGGAAAGAUUUAUCGGUUUUGGAUGGACUCGCGGCCUAUCAACUUGUUGGUGAGGUAAUGGCUCACCAAGGCGACGACGGGUAGCCGGCCUGAGAGGGUGACCGGCCACACUGGGACUGAGACACGGCCCAGACUCCUACGGGAGGCAGCAGUGGGGAAUAUUGCACAAUGGGCGAAAGCCUGAUGCAGCGACGCCGCGUGAGGGAUGACGGCCUUCGGGUUGUAAACCUCUUUCAGUAGGGAAGAAGCGAAAGUGACGGUACCUGCAGAAGAAGCACCGGCUAACUACGUGCCAGCAGCCGCGGUAAUACGUAGGGUGCGAGCGUUAUCCGGAAUUAUUGGGCGUAAAGAGCUCGUAGGCGGUUUGUCGCGUCUGUCGUGAAAGUCCGGGGCUUAACCCCGGAUCUGCGGUGGGUACGGGCAGACUAGAGUGCAGUAGGGGAGACUGGAAUUCCUGGUGUAGCGGUGGAAUGCGCAGAUAUCAGGAGGAACACCGAUGGCGAAGGCAGGUCUCUGGGCUGUAACUGACGCUGAGGAGCGAAAGCAUGGGGAGCGAACAGGAUUAGAUACCCUGGUAGUCCAUGCCGUAAACGUUGGGCACUAGGUGUGGGGACCAUUCCACGGUUUCCGCGCCGCAGCUAACGCAUUAAGUGCCCCGCCUGGGGAGUACGGCCGCAAGGCUAAAACUCAAAGGAAUUGACGGGGGCCCGCACAAGCGGCGGAGCAUGCGGAUUAAUUCGAUGCAACGCGAAGAA
rnacentral:rRNA from 1 species